GACGUAGGGGGCUAGCGUUGUCCGGAAUCAUUGGGCGUAAAGAGCGUGUAGGCGGCUCGGUAAGUCCGCUGUAAAAGUCAAAGGCUCAACCUUUGAAUGUCAGUGGAUACUGCCGGGCUAGAGUCCGGAAGAGGCGAGUGGAACUCCUGGUGUAGCGGUGGAAUGCGCAGAUAUCAGGAAGAACACCAACGGCGAAGGCAGCUCGCUGGGACGGCACUGACGCUGAGACGCGAAAGCGUGGGGAGCGAACAGG
rnacentral:rRNA from 1 species